rnacentral:lncRNA from 1 species
UCCAAUAAUUUAUUAGGGCAAGCGACUAGUGUUUGCCCUCAACAGUGGUAGUAAGUAACCUAAGUCCUUUCUUCUACUUCCAGUCCACCUCCCCCAUAAUAAAACUAUGACAGAGAAACAUGAAGGAAAAACAUACAAGCAGAGCUACACCGUGAAAGAUUUCUGUGCAGGUGCUUAACUAGAUCUCCAGAGAAGGAAAUCCGAUAGAGAAAUCUGGAUUGAGCAUCUCAAACCAAGUGUCAACAUAAGGUAUCAUUUCUUUCGAAAAGGAUCAUGGCUAUUUCACACAUCACAUGGCAGCAAACACAGCUUGGCUAUCAAUUCUGCCCUCAGCAGGAAGCUGCAGUGAUUUUGAUGAGCUUCCCUGCAUGACGCAAGAGCGUAUUUGUCACAAUGAAAUAUUUGCUUCACCCUUUAAAAUGGAGAGGCCGGCCAGAUACUUCUAGCAAUCCCAUAAUGAAGACAACUGUUUGCAACAAAACUACCCUGUUUCCUCCAAAAUAAGGCGGGGUCUUAUAUUAAUUUUUGCUCCAAAAACUCAUUAGGGCUUAUUUUCAGGGGAGGUUUAUUUAAUUUUUUAUGUGCAACAAUCU